rnacentral:rRNA from 1 species
AUGAUUCUUGUCCUCUACCUGCAUCACAUUCUAUAUGCUACUUUGUCAUGUGACUCAAGGACCAAACCUAUUCGACUCACACUCCCGAAGAUCCAUUCUUGGAAAUUGAUGUCAAAGGGGGAGAGAGAGAUCACAUCAAAGCUUAACCACAUCAAAGGGAGAGAGAUACCUUAUUGGAAGAAAAGAUUUCUUAGUCUUCCCAUAUGCUUGGUAUUCAAAGAGGAGAGAAGUCACAUGUCUUUAAGAGGGGAAAAGACAUGUAUAUGUUAUGUUGUUUAUUUUGCUCUGAUUUUCUUUUACCCUAUCUUCUCCGAUUAUCCAAUAUCAGAUUCAGGGGGAGAAAGACAUCUAAGGAAAGAAAUCUUUGAAUUCAUUGCAUAUCUUUACUCUUUGGGGACAUGUCUAUACUCAAAUAGAGUACCUAGUACUCACUCACUACAUGUCAUCCCAAUCUUGGUACUCUUGUGGUUUGUUGUUCUUGCUCUGUUUAGUAGAUGUUUCUGUGUUAUCUAA